rnacentral:tRNA from 1 species
CAGAAUAUAGUUUAAUUAAAACAUAAACUUUGGAAGUUUAAAAUAGAUAAAUACUUUUUCUGA